rnacentral:tRNA from 1 species
GAUUCCAUAGUGUAGGGGUUAGUACGUCUGCUUUACACACAGAAGGUUCUGGGUUCAUGGCUCAGUGGAGCCA